UUCUCUCUGUCGUCUACCUGUAUCUGAACCUUCCUCUCAUCCCAGUAAAGCUACUUUCCCCGUCUCUGAAUCUCUCCCCCAUUCCCCUCGUGCGAUCUGCUCGUGUGGAUCGUCACAGCGGGGAGUCGGCCUAGUGGACCGCGGUUCCCGCUUUGGUGGGUUGGGUCACAACUGAUUGGCCUGACGGUGGCGAGCGCCGAUCGAUUGAUUGCAAGCCCCUGAUGAUGUGCUCGCUCCGCUGUGUCAUCUAAAGAUUACUAGUUUUGUUCAUGAUCUGUUCAGUGUUAUUUUAUUACUGCAUUGGUAGGGAUCUAGUGCACUGCCACCUAGUUUAUUUUUUGCAUAGUGCGUUGAUCCCAGGCUCGCUGAUGCGUAGGAGCAAUUCAUGUGGUUCUACAGAUCGUCACCGAUAAUGCGGGGUGAAGAGGAAAAGGCUCAUGAAACCCAGUAAAUUUCUUGCUGGUUUAGUGCGCUUGUGUUCAUCUUGUCGAUUAUAUUAGGAGAAAACGCCCUUCCAUGCUUCUUGUACUGAUUCUGAUUCUUAGGUUUUUACUUGUUGCUUUUCUAGGCAUGUGUGUGUUCGUGUAGAUUCACACAAAGAAAUACCUGCCACGUGCAGGUUGGUUGUGGGGUUCGUUUGCUAUUUUUCUUAGUGUUUCCAUGUGCAAGAGAGGUAGUAGCUCUCUACCUUCAACGGAGUAGCCACAUGGUUGACUACCAACCUUAUACUUAUGUUGUUGCUUGUUGGCCUGCUCCUUAUAGUUGUCAUGCUUGUGGUCGAUUCAGCCGGGGAACAACAACGCCGUCGUCGCCGGUGGCAUGGAUACCAUGUCCAAUGCCCCCAAAUACGCUGCAACAGCAAGAUAGAAGAUAGCAACGGAGUGGUAAGAUUUGUGCAGAGAUCUUCUCCUCCAUCGUCGUCUGCGACAAAGCUACUGGGUGCAUCCGUCCAUCUUCAGAUCUGAGUGAAGAGGGCAUCCGUCCAUCUCAAAAGGAUAUGGAUGACUAUCUGAAAGUAUGCAGGUUUCUUUCCAAACUUAACAACGGGAUACUAGGUGAAAGAAAUGCUGCCUACAAGGAGAGGUUGAGCAGCCUAGAGAAUUUAGUACUGAUCAUGGGGUGAUCGACGUGGACUACCGCGACCUGGUGGGCAUCGUGCUCUUCAACCACUCGGAGACGGACUUCGCUGUGAAGCCCGGCGACCGCAUCAUAGAGAUGAUUGUCCAGGUGAUUGCGGCGCCGGAGGUCGCCGAGGUGGAGGACCUUGACGCCACCGUACGGAGUCGUCGAGGUGGAGUACCUUGACGCCACUGUCUGGACGUUGCCCAGGUGAAGGACCUCGACGCCUUGGUAGAUACAUCUAGAGAAGUGGUCUACUUAGGUUGGUGGUGGAACGCUAGGGAAGGUACCUACCUUUCGGUGAUGAUGUUUGUGUGCGUCUGAGGUAUAAAUGGGAUCUCGUGAUCUCUUUGAAUUGAGAUGUUCAAUGUUGUAUCCAUGAACGCUGCAAGUGCUAAGUAAGAAUGUAAGUGUUAAAAUGGUUCUGUGACCUUCAUUUAUUUUGCCAUGGAUGUGUCUUGAUUUGUAUC